GGAUUGUGGCUCAGCGGUAGAGCGCUCGCCUAGCAUGCACGGGGGCCCUGGGUUCGAUCCUCAGCACCA
rnacentral:tRNA from 1 species